UUAAACCAUUUGUGGAAAAGUUGAUCCAAGUUACCACACAAUGUAUAUUUUGGUAAGUAUUUAUUAAACUGGCACUCGGGAAACCACCUCCACAUUCAAGGCAUGAGAGGUUGCUAAUACCAUUAGCUCCUGUGUGCUCCUUCCUGAGUACUUGAGUUCUUCACCCCCAGGGGCUACCGCUCUCUUGCCUUGAUACUUUGCUUUCCUUUGACUUUCACCACUUGGUUGAAGUUUGUUUGCAUAUGCUUUGUCUUGGAGGUCUUUUUUGGGCUCAUGCAAAUUUGUUCCCAUUUUGUUCUUACGGUUCAUGUAAGGUUAGUGGGGGGCCGUGUAGUCCCCUCCCCUGCUACAAACCCCUCUGUCCUAAACAGUGAGUCAGCUCCACUUUUAUAUCUGAACAAACACCUGGCCUCACCAAGCCCAGCCACAUCCUGUGACUGGCAGGACAUCCAGCCCCUACGGUGUCUACCGGACCCUGGAGACAUCCUGUUGCAGCCCCAGAGACAACCCGCUUACUAAGAACUUGAUAAUCCACUUGAACAAGCACCUAAAAAGCAAGCCCCCCUCCACUUAUGCCCCUCACCACAUAUAAAUAUCUUUGCCUCAGUCCCAGACAACUGCGACUUCCCAAGUCUCUUUGCUUUCUCCUGGGGCCCAGGAACCUCAGCUGGGUCCCUUCCUUGGACUGGUUACCCUCACCCUGGAGCACUCCAAUAAGCCUCUUUACUUAACCCUUUCAACUCUGCUCGUCUUUCUUUCUCUGGUGCCGACCAUCCAAAAACCUUACAUUUGGUGCCGAAACCCCGGAGGGGUGUCUUGGUCGUGCCGGGCCAUUCUGGCCCGUGGCUGCGCCGGCCCCUCCGACGGACUCUACAUUUGGGACUCUACGCUUGAACCGGGACUACAGCCGGCUGCCGGAGGGUCCCUCUUCAAUUCCUCGUCAACGAACCGAAAAGCGAAUGGGGUCCUUUUCCAGCGACCCAACAGCUUACACCAAAGAGUUUCGCUACCUGACACAGGCUUAUAAUCUCCCCUGGCAUGAUAUUUCUGUCAUCGUCUCUUCUACCCUGACAGUAGAUGAAAAAGAACGUGUCUGGACGGCAGCCCAGGCACAUGCUGAUCAGCUCCAUCUCACGGACCGCUCUGUGCCAGGGGGGCUGAGGCUGUCCCUCGCCGAGAGCCGGCCUGGGAGUACCAACCCGACCCCCGGCCGGCCAAGAGGCAGGAAACGGCGAGACCGCAUGUUGCAGUGUGUUCUUGCCGGCCUCCAGGCCGCUGCUCACCCUGCUGGUAACUUUGAAAAACUGAGAGAAAUUACUCGAAGGCCUGAUGAAAACCCGGCAGCUUUCUUAAACUGCCUCACAGAAGCUCUGGUCCAAUAGACCCGCCUCAAUUCAGCUUCUCCCGCAGGGACUACUGUCCUUGUCACCCAUUUUAUUACCCAAUCAUCCUCUGAUAUCAGAAAGAAACUCAAAGAGCUAGAGGAAGGCCCUCGGACCCCUGCCCAAGACCUGGUGAAUAUGGCAUUUAAAGUCGUUAAUUGCCGAGACGAGCAGGCAGAGGCCCAAAAGGAGGCCCGUGUUCGCCAAGAGGCACAUCUGCAAGCCCAAGCCUCGGUUGCAGCCCUGAGCCCGGCAGGGCCCACGCAGCCAUCGACCUCGUCCAAGGCAACCAGCUGUCCUCCACCGGGCACCUGCCUCAAGUGCGGUAAGGAAGGACACUGGGUCAAGCGGUGCCUGCAGCCACGUCCACCCCCAGGACCUUGUCCGGCCUGCGGUCCAGAGGGACACUGGAAGAUUGACGGCCCCUUGGGACCAAAGUCCAGAGGGUCAGUCCUUCCACCCCCCAGACUUGCCAUUGAUGGUCUUGGGUUUGGCUGCCGAAGAUUGAAGAAGCCCUGACUUGGUGACCCCAGUCACCCUCGCCAAGCCCAGGGUAACAAGCAAGAUAAUGGGUUCUGGGUUCUGAUGGUGAACAGGAUGGGCAGGGUCUCUGCUCUCAUGGAGAUGACAUUUUAAUGGAUGGAAAAAGAGAAGGUCAUUGUGACCUAGAGCACAGGUACAGACUGGCUAAGUGAUUAAGGAAGAAAACUUAAUGGUAUGAAAGAAUAUUUUGUUUUGAAUAAGGUGGUCAGAGAUGGCAUCCAGGAGGGACAGAAAUUUAACCCAAGAAUGGAAGGAUGAGAGCCUGAUAUUUUGACACUGGGGUUGGGUAUGAAAAUAGCACGUGUGGGGCGCCUGCCAUGGGAAAUAACUUGAUUAGCUCCACAGGGAUAAAGGAGCCCAGAAUGGGAGUCACACGACCAGUGAAAAAGAGCGUUGGAGUUGUAGGAAAAAGGCGGAUCAUAGGGCCCUGAUGGCCACCGAAAAGGACUGGAAGGUUUCUGAGCACAGCAGGUGAUCCAUUUUGGGGCAUUAAGUGGAGAGUGAGAGAGUGACACAAUCCAGUAUUUCUGACAGAUAUUUGGGGAGCAGAGUAUGGGGCCAGGAGAGGCUUCCCUUCCCCUUUUGGAGUUAUUUUUUGCUACAAUAUACAGAAUUGUUAACAAGCCUAAGGCCAUGUGAGACAAAGGUUAAAGCACACCUAUAGGUCAUCAAUUUACUUAAUAGAUCACUUAAGUCAGAGUAUGUGUUCAGCGGCUUGUCUCUGAUUAACAGAAUUUCUUAUCUUAACUUAAAAUAUUCCAAACCUUUAGACAAAGAUUAAUUUCUCUAACCAGUUACAAAUCAAAGAAUCUUUAAACCCACUUACAACCUGUAAUCUCCUGCUCCGAGAUGUCCUGCCUUUUUGGGCCAAACCAAUGUAAACCUUCCAUAUAUUGAUAUAUGCCUUAUAUGCAAUUCCUGUCUACCUGAAAUAUAUAAAACCAAACUGUAACCCAACCACCAAGAGACCACUUGCUCAAGGUUUCUUGGGUGUGACUCUCCAGGACAUGGUCAUACAUAUUUGGCUCAGAAUAAACCUCUUUGAAUUA